rnacentral:rRNA from 1 species
UACGUAGGGGGCUAGCGUUGUCCGGAUUUAUUGGGCGUAAAGAGCGUGUAGGCGGCCUGGUAGGUCUGCUGUGAAAACUCGAGGCUCAACCUCGAGAUGUCGGCGGAAACCAUCUGGCUAGAGUCCGGAAGAGGAGAGUGGAAUUCCUGGUGUAGCGGUGAAAUGCGCAGAUAUCAGGAAGAACACCAAUUGCGAAGGCAGCUCGCUGGGACGUAACUGACGCUGAGACGCGAAAGCGUGGGGAGCAAACAGG